GGAAUGGUGCUCGAGUGGUUGAAGAGGCACGCCUGGAAAGCGUGUAUACCCCAAAAGGGUAUCGGGGGUUCGAAUCCCCCUCAUUCCG
rnacentral:tRNA from 1 species